rnacentral:lncRNA from 1 species
GGAGGGAGGAAAGCGGGGUGCGGGAAGAAUUGGAGCACGUUAGCACGUGGAGUUUUGAAGAGCGGGAGAACGUGCGAAAAAUAAAGGGCGAAAGCGUGUGAAAUUAAUAUAGAAACGUGUCACUUUCGGAGGAAGGGUGGGGUUCGGACGAGUUUUGUUGCUUCAUCCCUUGUAUCACGGUCCCAUUAGCUGGCUUUCUGGGAUGGCACGUGAUACCGUACAGUUAAAGACUCGUUUGAUUGACAGAAAAUA